CCAGAAUACAACAUAAGGCAGAGUAAGGAAUAAUUCACUCUCUGAAUGACUGUUUUCAAGCUGGGACAUGGGUCUCCUGCCUUCAGACUUGGUCUCAGAUAGAACUUAACCUUCAAUUCUUCUGGUUUUUGGACUGAGAAUAGGAUUGGGGCUUAAACCAUCAGCUUUCCUGGUUCUCGGGUCUUUGGAUCCUGAUUGGAAUGAUAUCAUUGGCUUUCCAGAGUCUUUAGCUUGCUGACUGCAUAUCUUGGAACUUCUCAGCUUUCAUAAUCAAUUACAGUUGAAUAUGAGGAGAUUGCAAGAGGACAACUCGGCUCUAAAAUCGAUGCAUUAACAUGUCAUUGGAAUUGACCUUGCCAAAAGAUGCCUCCCUAAAUCCACAAGAAUCUCCUUGUUUGAACACAGUUUCUAAUCCAGCUGUAAUGAAGACAGACAACAGUCAAAUUAACAACUGAUCAGGAGGAGAAGUUCAUACUCCUUGAGCUGGAUCUAUCUGCACAUGCACCUGGCCCAGGAAGCUGAAAUGGGAGAUCUGAUGAGCAGUGGAGGACUGAACCAAAGCCCUUGGCUUUUGCUCCAUACCAGUCAGGAGAUUCAUAGGUCUACAUAAGAACAUUCCCAGAUCAACCGUGAACUCAUAGUUAAAAGCCAGUUCUUUCUUCAGGGUAUUCAACCUAGUUGAGGAUGCAGGACACGUUUUUAAGCAAUUAACAACACUAAUAACAACAUGAAGAACGUUCAAACUGCCAGAUGAAAAGCAUAACCGGUAAUGACUGUAGUAGUAUAGAAGAAUGAAGAGUUAGAAAAAUCUUGGACAUUGAUGAAGCGUUGAUAGAGGAGAUAAGAUCCAAAUGACAAAAUAUAUAAUUGUAUUGCACUGUUAACAAAUACAUAUCUAAAUGACAAGGUGCAUAUCAAUGGAAUGUUUGAAUUAUUUAAAAUUUUCAUUUCCUUAUUGAUUUGUGUGUUCUUUGUUGAUAGUGGACAUACUAUGUUGCCAAUUAUUAGAUUAACAAUACUGAAAUCUGUGAAACGUAUUUCACAUGUACUUUAUUAUUAUAGGCACAAUAAAAUGGUGUCAAAACAAGAGUUAAGAGAGCAUCCAGCAGCUUAAGGGCAAGAACAUCCUACGAUCUCAUUAUAUUUUCUGCAUAAGGAUGCUUGCUUGGGGGACCACUGGAUAUACACAUGGCUUCUACUCUCCUUUUAUUAUAGUCAUAAAGAGCAACUGAAGCUCAUAAAAAGUAGCUGGCAGAUUUGUAAAAGAUAUAACAGUUUGUUCACAGAGUUUCUAUAGAGCCACCAUCUAAGGAAAAUUUCCCUUCCAAAGCAUUGCUAGGAGCUAUUUAUCUUAGAAUUGCCUACUUUGUCACAGUAAACUGAGUAUUCCUCCUGUCAUCUAGUUUGCAAAACAAGGACUAGUUCUCUUUGACUUUUUCCUCAAUAACAGUAAACAGUAUAUACAUGAAGUAUGAGAAUUCAAUACUUAUAGAGUUAUAACUGUCCUGAGGUGAAGGUCAAUGUGUGUGUUUGUUUGCAAGAUAGUUUAUGUUGUAAAUUUAUUAAUUAAUUUGCACCUAUUUUAUAGCCGUUCUGGACAUACACAUGGGCAGAAGAUGUAGCCGCCUUGUGUGAAAAUUUGAGAGACAUUCCAGAUUAUUUACUCAACCACAGAAUCUGGGAAGGGGGAGUUCAGAAAAUGUAGAAGGAAUAAAGAAAACCCUAAGUAUGUAUUAGGACUGAAGAGUUCUGAAAGGAAAAGAGUAAGAGAAAAACAGAGGCAGACAGUGACAGAGAGAAACUGAUAGGGUUUCCAAAGGCAGCCCAGCUGGAAGGAAACUGCCACAAUCUCCCAGAAACAUGAAGUAGGGGCAUAAUAUGUGAUAUAUGUCUUGUCACAAGGUACCUAGUCUACAUCAAUGGUUUAUCAAAGAUCUGUGUUUCUUCCAGCUCUCUACUCCAUCUUCCGCUAGUAUAACCCUCAUUGGCUGGAAUCAUAAUGGUAUCUGCAUCUGGAACUGGCCACUAGUAUAACACCUACAAAAUGCACAACGGCCUUCAGACCAUAUGAAAAGUCUACAGGGUGAGAAUCUGAAAAUCCAGCAAUGAGGAGAAAAAAGUUAUCUCCCAUUAAGAACACUUUCCAGAAGCUACACAAUUCCAGUUAUUGAUUCAUCCCAUUUACUAGAACCUGUUCAUCUGGCUAUGCCCAAAACCAAGGGAAACUGAAAUAGUGGUUACCAUAUUCUGUAACUCAGCCUAGCCUAGCUUCAGAAGUUUUAAUAAAGAAAAUAAAAUGUAUUGAAAUAUUUUUAUAAUAUCUAUUCAUUUCAAAAUACAUUUUUUGUUUCAGCUCAAUCUUCCAUUUUAAUAUUCUAUCACACUCCUUCAUAUAAGUUCAGAUGUAUUUUAACUUCUUUCUGAGGGACAUUGUUUCCUAUAAUCAAAGCAGUUCAACUAUCUGCUAAGUCAGUGCUUUCCUAUUAUAAGCUAUUUUGAUUACAAUCAACCUGUGCAGAACAAUAGGAUGCUUUAGCAAUGACUAAACACCAAUGAAUACUUCCUUAGCUUUACAUAAUGAGCAAAGGAAGUAUGGCCCCAUAGUCUCAUCUCAGUUUCCUUAAGUCACUAUCAAUUCAGGUGUAAAAUACAGAAAACACUUACAUUGAAAUUUUUGAUUCCUCCAAAUGGAAGAUAAAUUAUACAGCAUUGUUGAGUUGUAAUCUCCAAAACCAAAAUUUCUGUGUUUUCCACAUAAGCAACCCAAACUGAGAGUUGCAUAACAGCCCAAGAACUAAACAUUGACACCAGCCUCAAAAACAGACCAUUGAUUAUCACAACAAAAACUUCAAAAUGCACCGGGGCCUCGUGGGCACAGGAGGUCUUUCAGGGAGUGAGCAUCAUUGUGAUAGGAUGGAAAUGCUAAGAUGUUUCUCUAUUCUAUUAAUAUAUUCUGUAUUCUAGCAAUAUAGAAUAUAAUACGUAGAAUAUAGUAUAUAUAAUUAG
rnacentral:lncRNA from 1 species